rnacentral:lncRNA from 1 species
GCUUUGGUUUCAUAGUUAUAAGCCAAAAACUGCAUUUUACCCCUAUGUUCUAUUUUUAGCCGUGUUGGCCAUCUUGGUUGAAUGGCCAGGUCAUCGGAAACAUUUUUCAAACUAGAUACCCCAAAGAUGAUUGUGGCUUAGUAGUUUCAGUGGAGAUUUUGUAAAAGAUUACUUAGAUUUAUGAAAAAUGGUUAAAGAUUGAC